AGUAGCGCUCGUUCGGAUGCAUUUCCGGUGGGUAAGCGCCGUGACCGAUGCGAAUAGCCGGCUAGCGAAGCCGUCGGAUUGAGGGCGAGWUCGUUCGCGARUCUCGUAACCAGUCCGUCGGUCGUAAUAGAAAUCGUUAGACCGUAGCAUCGAGAGAAUGAGAAUUCGAACGUCGGCGAAUCUUACGCGCUCGCCUAAUACGAUGGACGUACGUUCGGUCGAUGGUCACCUGCUCGCAGGUUUCAGUCGUACUAUGAGCGUAUCCGAAAUCGUUGGUGACGUUUACGACGUUCGGGUGUCUACGGCGUCCGAGUCGGUCGCCCGUCCGACCCGUCUUGAAACACGGACCAAGGAGUCUAACGUAAGCGCGAGCUAAUGGGCGGAAAACCCAUAAGCGCAAUAAAAGUAAAAGUCGUUUCGGACGGCUUAGGUACGAUCCCGCAGGGCGAAUAAUCCUCGGGCGCAGUACCGUMCCGUCCCGACCGCUCGUCGGUAGGGCGGAGACAGAGUGCAUACGUUGGGACCCGAAAGAUGGUGAACUAUGCCUGAGCAGAGCGAAGCCAGAGGAAACUCUGGUGGAGGUUCGUAGCGGUUCUGACGUGCAAAUCGAUCGUCAGA
rnacentral:rRNA from 1 species